rnacentral:lncRNA from 1 species
UUUUUUUAGAGAGCUAAAAGUUUCGAAUUAGUUAGUGUGUUUGAUUUGAGUUAAAUCAUGUGUAUAUUUAAAUAUUAAGUUCGAAAGCAUUUACAUAAAUUUACAUCAUGAAUUCAAAUGAUAGGACGUUUUGUAGUAAAAAUCAGGGCAUUUUUAGCGAUACCAAAAAACGCAGGUUUUGGCGCGUUUUGCCGAGUCCCCAAUGCCGCCAAAAACGAAAGCUCUCUUUGCUUCUAUUUGUCUUGUCCUCUGUGUCUGAAACAACAACAAAAAAAAAGCAAUGAAAAUUUUAGGAGAAGAUGAGCAGACGAUUAACACGAUAUGCGGAGCUUGUUCCGGAGACAAAUUCACAGAGUACGGUGGUUUCUAUUACUGUCAAGAAUGUGGUACUCAGGCCCAAGGCUUCAUCCUCGCCAACGUCACUGACGACGACUUGUACAACCUCUACAAUGUUCGAUUCAGCCGCCGGAUCUCCAGUUCUACUACUAAUGAGCCAGAUCCAUGUUCGCUAGCUUGGUAUCAAUUCAUACGGAAAGAGGAGGAGGAGGACGAGAAAGUUACUACUUCCAAUCCUCCUAGUCAGAUCUCCCACGAUGAUUACUCUAAUGAGGUUAGGUUUAGGUAUGUGAUUGGACUGCAAACUCUGAUUCAGUCUCAAUGUGAUGCUUUGAUUCAGAAAUUUGGUCUUAGUGAUUUGAUUCCUGGUAUUGCUUCUUGGAUUUGGCUGAGGUAUGUGGUUGUAUCUGGGGUUCUCAAAGAUGACUGGGCUAGUGAUGCUAUCUUGAAAUCUGAAUCUGAAUCUGAUUCUCAUAUGAAGAAUAAGAAGAAGCUUGUAGCAGAUCAAUCUGACGCCGACUGCGGCAGUACCAGUAGUAGUCAGAGAUAUUAUAAUGAACCACUUACUGCACAUGGAAAACGUGCUGUAUCUGUUUGGUUUCGAAGUUUAAAGAAAGCCAUACCGAUGGAUCAUACUUUGGCUAUAUGCUAUUUGGCUUGCCAUAUUGCCAAAGAAGCGGUUCUACCAACGGAUUUAGCAAAGUGGUCAAUAGAAGGAACAAUUCCUUACUUCAAUGUCCAUUUGGAAAUCGAAAGCAAGUUGGGAGCUCCUUCGUUCGCUUGUCCUAUAAGUUCGGCGUCCAUGUUUAGGACAACUCGCCCGAUUCCAUUCGACAAGUUGGAAGGAAUGGCUGCCCCAAUUGCAGAGUCGUGUUGCGCUUGUCCUAUUAGUUCGGCUUUCAUGUUUAGGAGAACUCGCCGGAUUCCAUUCGACAAGUUGGAAGGAAUGGCUGCCACAAUUGCAGAGUCGUUAGGUUUGUCUCUAACUCCAAUAAAUUUUUAUGCAAUAGCAUGUCGAUACCUAAAUCAACUCUCUAUUCCGAGCGAAAAAGGAGUUUAGGGAAGAAGUCUGAGAUUGAUAGUGAUUGAGGCGCUCUCACAGAGGUUGGAAGCAGGGUAUAGCAUGGUUGGAGAAUCAUGGGAGUUUGGGAAAGACUUGACAUCUUAUCUCAACUACUGUACGGAUGUGGUCUUUGAAAAAGGAACAAAUAGAUCAUCAAGCCUUGAAGACGAGUUUAUAGAGAAGUUGUGGGACUAUUAUAUUGAGAAUGCUGCAAAUGAUGAUGAUGAUGAUGAUGAUGAUGGUAAUCAAGAGGCGGAUGUAGAGAGGAGUAGUAUACAUAGUAGAAGCAAUGUUUGUUCAAGGAAUGAAGAAGCUGCCCUGAUCAGAAAACUAAAGUUAGAUAUGAAGGAGAAAGAGUUCGGCUACCUUGUACCGAGGGUUAACAUCAAGAAUACAACGGAAUACCUGCACUACAGUAGAAGGAAGGACGAAACAACCGGGAGAUUGAGGUACGUUGCUCAUGCAGAUUACUAUAUUGUACUCCGUUCUUGCUGCCAAAGUUGCUCAGGUUGACUGUCAAAUGAUGCAUUUGGGGGGUUUGGCUUUAGAGAGGAGAUUGGACUCCUUAGAGAAGAGGAUCCAUUCAUUACUACAUCCAUCAUGAAUGAUCAUGUAGAUAUGCAGCCAGCCGGAAGCAUCUUUAUAUUUAGUUAUUAGUUAGUUGUUUUGUCAAUUUCUCUUCUCUUGCCUGCUAGCUGAAAGUAUCUAUCUAUCUAUCUUCUUAUAUUUAGUUAUUAUUAGCCAGCUGACUGUAAUCUAUCAACAAACUGUCAGUCAGGCAAUUUAUUAUUAUGUUAUUAUAAAGCAUUAGGGAGGGAAUCAUAAUCAAAGUAAGUAAGAUGGUUCUGUUUUUGUUUUUGUUUUUGUUUUUUGGACUUGUGAUACUUACUAGAUCAUGUAUGUAUUGAAAUGUGGCCUGCGAGAAACAAAGUGAAUCAAUCUCAUUACAUCAGGAAACAACAAAUUAGGAAGGAAGAGGAAAAGAUGCUUUUAGUUUGACUAGAUUGAAUGGUCCUGCGGAAUAUAAAUUUGAUUAUUAUUAUUAGAUAUUACGCACUUGUAUUUUUGUAAUAGUUGCGGAUUAACUCUUUUUUUUUGUCAUUUCGUUAAGUGCUUUCUAAUAAAAUUCAAUAACCUAAUCAGAAGCCAGACCGAUACUUAAACCAAACAAAUAUUAAAUUGUGGCAUACAUACUAAAUAGGAUAAUCAACUCCACCCGUCCUCGUUUCUACUAAAUCUAAAGGUUGUUGCAAAUAGAAGUAAUUCUUGGCUGGAAGUCUUAACAAAGAUAAAAUUGCAUGUUUACUCUGCUCCAUAAUCUCAAACGGCCAGCCCACAACUUAGAUAAGUAAACAAUAUUUGCUACCCAGUAUGUGAAUGUUAUAAUAGUAUUUGGCCGAUAUCACUGGAAUUGGUAUUUGCUAUAAUAGUAGUUAUCCAUAGCUAUGUCAAUUUUCCAGUUAAUAUGAAUGGAAAGAUACUUACUUGAAUCAAGUUCGGUGCGAUCAUUGAGGUUCGAUGAGAGUUUCUUUAAAAUUUUCCCUAUAUCUAUUCCACCACUUUGAUCGUAACUUUCACCCCCGGCUUAUGCUCAUAUUUCGCCUCCACCAUGAAAACUGAGACUACAGUUGCUUGCUGUUCAUCUUCUUCUUCAUUAAACCUUUGGUGACUACCACCAUAGCUAGUCAAUAGAAAUCCUUUUCUUGUGGCUGCAGAGAAAGCACCGAAACUGGUCUCUGAGAGCCUCGACCAAAUCCCUCUUUUGUGGCUGGAGAGGAAGCACAAAAUAAAACAUAAGAGAUGACAACUGUUUCCCAAUCGAGAGCCUCGUCGUCCAAUAGUCA